rnacentral:rRNA from 1 species
UACGGAGGGUGCAAGCGUUGCUCGGAAUUAUUGGGCGUAAAGGGUAGGUAGGUGGUCUCGUUUGUCUAGGGUGAAAUCCUUGAGCUUAACUCAAGAAGUGCCUCAGAAACGGCGAGACUAGAGUUCUGGAGAGGGUCGUGGAAUUCCCGGUGUAGCGGUGAAAUGCGUAGAGAUCGGGAGGAACACCAGAGGCGAAGGCGGCGACCUGGACAGAUACUGACACUCAACUACGAAAGCGUGGGGAGCAAACAGG